UACGUAGGGGGCGAGCGUUGUCCGGAUUUACUGGGCGUAAAGCGCGUGUAGGCGGCGCCUUAAGUCAGGUGUGAAAGCCCGGGGCUCAACCCCGGAGUGCCGCCUGAAACUGGGGUGCUUGAGGACGGAAGAGGGGAGUGGAAUUCCUGGUGUAGCGGUGAAAUGCGUAGAUAUCAGGAGGAACAUCAGUGGCGAAAGCGGCUUCCUGGACCAGUACCGACGUCAGGCACGAAAGCGUGGGGAGCAAACAGG
rnacentral:rRNA from 1 species